rnacentral:rRNA from 1 species
CCUACGGGAGGCAGCAGUAAGGAAUAUUGGUCAAUGGACGCAAGUCUGAACCAGCCAUGCCGCGUGAAGGAUUAAGGUCCUCUGGAUUGUAAACUUCUUUUAUAUGGGACGAAAACAGAUCUUUCUAGGUCCUUUGACGGUACCAUAUGAAUAAGCACCGGCUAACUCCGUGCCAGCAGCCGCGGUAAUACGGAGGGUGCAAGCGUUAUCCGGAUUCACUGGGUUUAAAGGGUGCGUAGGCGGGUAGGUAAGUCAGUGGUGAAAUCCUGGAGCUCAACUCCAGAACUGCCAUUGAUACUAUCUAUCUUGAAUAUUGUGGAGGUAAGCGGAAUAUGUCAUGUAGCGGUGAAAUGCUUAGAUAUGACAUAGAACACCCAUUGCGAAGGCAGCUUACUACGCAUAUAUUGACGCUGAGGCACGAAAGCGUGGGGAUCAAACAGGAUUAGAUACCCUGGUAGUCCACGCCCUAAACGAUGGAUACUCGACAUACGCGAUACACAGUGUGUGUCUGAGCGAAAGCAUUAAGUAUCCCACCUGGGAAGUACGUUCGCAAGAAUGAAACUCAAAGGAAUUGACGGCGNGAGAGNGCGAGGACGACACGAGGGAGGAG